rnacentral:hammerhead_ribozyme from 1 species
AUCCAGCUGACGUAUCCUAAAUAGGACGAAACACGUGUCCUGUAU